CCACUGAGUUAUCUCUUUGGGUCACAUGCUCGCCCUGUCCACUCAGGGAGCUACUGCUGCCAGGGGCGGGGCUGGAGGACCAACAAUGCUAUCUGUGGCUGGGGAACCCUGAAAUGUUCAUCGUCUGUCGCAUACGCUCCCUGCCGAAUCUGCACCAUAUGCUUGUCUGUUUGCUAUGAGCACCUUGUGAUUGGAGUAGCUUUAUCUCAUCAUCAGUCAUCACUGGAAAUCUGCAGUUAGCAUCCGAACAAAUACCUAUCAGGAAUCCGUUAGCUGAUCGGCGGGUGGGCGGGGCUUCCACGGAGGCCUCCGUGUAGGCCACAGUGAAGCCUGAACUCGAGUAGGGCCCAAGCCAGCCAGGAAGGAGGAGGCAGCCAGAGUGUUCUCUGCAGCAGAAGAGCCCUUGCUGCCCUGCUUAACCCAGACCAGCAUUUGCCAGGUAGAGUGUGAACUCCUUUUUGUGGUUACCUUUCCCGCCCCCCCCCCCAUAUAUAGGGAUCUGCUUGCCAUAGGGCUUGGAUAUGGGGGUGGGGGAGAGGGACCGAGAAGUCUCUGAAUAUUUAUUUUGAAACAGCUUGGAAAAUUUGCUGACUUAAAAAAAACUAUCUAAAAAGUCCUAUAAGUGGCUUGUUUCAUGGCAGAAAAUUGCAAAAACUUCUGGAACAGUAUUUUAUUAAUUUUAUUUAUUCAUUCAUUCAUUUAUAAAUGCACUUAUGUUCAAGUUGUUUUGCAACCCAGAAGGUCUGAGUGAGAACUGUGAAGCAUGUGUGGUGCUUUUAUUUUAUUUUAUUUUUCUUGUGUGUGAACUGCUCCCCAAUAACUUGCAGGGACUUCAGGGUAAAUCUGGCCAACAUGUGAAUGCAGCACCUCCAUUCCAGAGGAGAGGUGUCUUAAAGGGCUUUAAAAGCCUCCUGUGAAAAACCUCCUGCAAUCAAACUUGACUGAAUUUGUUCAGAAUUCUGAGAAAACAAACAUAGGUUCACCCUGCAUGGUUGAAAGUCUCCUUUGCUAAUCUGCAGCGAGGGGCCCAUUUUAAUAAUUCAUCUUUCUAGUGUGUUCUAGGCAUUAAAAGUAAUACAAAUGUAUAGUACUCAAUGUAUAUCACUAUAUAUUGUGACGUGUGUGUGUGUAUAUUCAGUGAAAUGUAUUUGCAGGCAGCAUACUUAUUUUGGAAUAUCAGACUUAAAUCCUUGGGGGCCUGGGGUGUGCGGAGGCCCUGGACUUUGGGGGGGGGGGCCCAUUUUAAAAUCUUGUCUCUGGGCCCACUCCAACCUUGCUACGCCCCUGUGUAAGGGUGAAGCAUGCAGGAAGUAUUCUACCCAGUUGCUUAUUAAGAAGCAAACCUGCUACCAUCAUCCAAUGUUCUAGUCAAUGAGUACAAAGAUACAAGGAUAGUUGGCGUACAGUUGGCACAUUUUUAAAUUCUAUAAAAUUAAAUUAUGUUGUAUUACAACUAAAUAAAGAAUUGGAUUACCCAUGUUUAGGUUCUGCGAGUUCUACACUGAUUUCAUCUCCCCUCUUCCUUUAGUGUACUUGUGGCUGACACCACCACCACACACACCCACACACACCACCUUACUAAAAAAAACCUUCUGGCUACUGGCUUUGUGCUUUGGAAUUGGUUUUAUAUGUAAUCAGCAUGCCUUUGUUGUGCUUCUCUUGGCUAACUUGUUUUUCAUCCUCAUCAAAGCAGAGCAACAACGAUCUUAAUAUCGUUUUGUCUAUUCAGACAUCCACUUCCAUUUCUUCUCAACUGCGAGGAAAUUAAUUAAUUGUCCAAAUGAUGUAUUAAAGAAGAUAAUGUAGGGAAUGGAACCCGUUCACUAAAAUGUCAGCCAUUGCCAAAAAUCUGGGCACUUCAUCAAACUUUUAUUGUUGCACACUGGAAAACAACAGUACAAAUUCAGUUCAACAUUACUGCAGCACACAUAUAUGAAUAAGUGAAUUCAUCUUCAGACCAUCUGAUUAAAAAAUGGACAUCUUUUUCCAAGACCAGCCUCCUGUUAUUUUGAUACCAUUUUAAUAUCAUAUUCUGACUAUAUUGAUGGGUUGGAUUAAGCUGGAAUCAGAGUAUCUGUUAAAAAAAGAAGAAGCUUGCAGUACAUGUACUUCAUUGCCUUGCUCAAGCAAAGGAUAGCUUCAGUCUUCUACAAGCACAGUCAACCAAUACAAAGCUGUAGCCAUCUGGUCAUGCUUAGCUGUGCCUCAUUUAACUGCCUACAUACAUAUAUAUUUUAAUGUAGAAAGUGAUACUAGUUUUUUCACAGAUUGUGAGGAUAAAAAUUGAGCAAAUCUAUGGACAUGACAAUGCAUUCCUUGGAGGACAGAUGGGUCACUAAUGUGACAUUUCAUAUUAAGAUGUUCCGCCCUUCGCAAUUCUGUCUGCUUCUCUGACUUCUGCUCCUAAAUCACCUUCUGGGCACAUAAAUGAUGCCAUCUGGAAAUUGAGAGGAAGAUGAAGAUAAUAAACUAUAGAGAACCUGCAAGCUUCCAUCAUGGAGAGAAUCCACCAAAUGGCCCUUCUUCUGGAACCAUCUCCUUUGACAACUACAGCACAAAUCUGAUACCGUACUUGGAUCUAUUCCUUGGCAAAUUUGGGACUAUGAGUGCUUCAGAAUCACAUUAGGUUUUAACUAUGCAUUUAUGUUCCUUUUUAUAAGUGUUUUUCAAUUUCAAGAAGUGGUUUAUGGUUAUCAAUAAGGUUUAUAUGUAUUACUUAACUAUUUUUAAUAUGUAAAUAUAUUGGUAAUUUACAUAUCUUUAUUUUCUGUUCUUUCCUUAAUAUGAGGGACAAAUGUUGACACACAAAGGUGAGCAAGAACUAGUAUAGAACUUAUGAAGAAAACAAUGCUGUGCAUUAGAUAUCUGGAAAGCAGGAGUAGAGGUAAGGUCACAAGAAACAGAGAAUAGGAAUCAGAGAGAAGAAGGGUAGGGCUAAGCCAGUAUGGAAAGAAAGUUAGGACUGGCAUUUAGCCACCCAUUUAGGUAUAGCCAAUUCAUAGGCCACAUUUCCAUACACAUGGUUCUCUCCUUCACUCUCUACUGAAAUGCAAAAUAAGUCAAAGAUUGUUCAUAAAAGCAAUGUAUUGUACACCUGGAAUAAAUUCCAGAAUAAUAUUCAGGAGCCCAAGAAGGCAUUUUAGUGAAGUGAUUGAGUUAUGAAUGCUGUGCAGCCUUCCUAGUGCUGCUGACAUUCCAGAGUGGCUGACAGCAUCUCAUUAGCAUCUGUCAUGUGGAAGACCAGAAGGGCACUUGGAGCCAUAUUUGCUUGUCAAUAUGGAUUUUUUUUUUAGUGCUUAUUAACAUAAUUGAACCCAAUUAUGGUGUAAACACUUUAUCAACCAGCUAGAAUCACUAUAUAUAGUAUGACUUGGGGCUGAGAUUAAAGUUCUCAUUUGAGAACAUUUGCCUUGAAUUUGGGGGGAUGAAUGGGUUCACAAUCUCAGCAAUGGGGGUGAGUGAUGGAUGAAAUUGGAGUGAGGCAAAACUUAUCAGCAUCAUCAGCCCUCCUCCUGGUGGCCAGCAAUCCCCAUUCUUUACCCAGAAGCCCCCUCAAAGAAUGCUACUGUCAUGGCCCAAACUACCAGAGUAGUGACCCUGACCCUGAGCAGGCAGGAUCAGCUUGACAUGGGCCAAAAGAGCCCUAGAACUAGAGCACUUUCAAAGUCUGACAUAUCUAGAAUGGCACUCAAGCCAUCUGAAGAGCUAUCUCCAACACUGUUUCACCCUGAUAUCAAGCAGGUAGGGAUGUUCAUGAAACAGAUUUUGCCCUUCAUUUCAAACUCGAAACAAAAUACAAAAUGAUCAAAAUGUUUCAUCAAAACAGUGGUCAAGAGGACUGUUUUAACAAAACAACUCAAAACAUUUUGAAUGUUCCAGCCAUAGGGAACAAUGGGGACACUCAAAACACCCCAUUGUUCCCCAUGGGUAGCUCCUAGGGACACCAAAUUGGGCUGUGUGGUAGGGCAUGAUGGGUGCCACUUACCACCCAACCCAAAAAAGUAAAGGACAAGCCAGCAAUUUAAAAUAAAUUUUUAACCUUUCCCCCAAACCCCCAUAGGAUCCUAUGGGGUUUGGAGGAAAGGUUAAAAAUGUGUUUAAAAUCACCUGCACAAUGGGGCAUUUAGAGUUUCCCUAUUGUUCCCUAUGGCGGGAACAAGCCGCACUCACAGAGUGUACUGCACACAAGUUUUGCAUAGCAAUUUGCAAUGCAUUUUGCAACCCUGCCUUGAAAAACACUGCAGAAGCACAGUCCAAAAGGGAAUCUGUCCCUCCCAAGACAAAACACAUAUUUCAAACACAGUCCAAAUGGCCAAGAAAGGGUUUAGAGUUGUUUUUACAUUUGUUGUGUUUUCUAAUUUGUACACCGUCUAGAGAUGUAUAUAUCAGGCUAGAUAGAUAGAUAGAUAGAUAGAUUUAUGAGCAAAAGGAAAAUGUCAUUUGGGGUAUGGACUGUAGUUCACCAAUAUACAGAUGAUGCCCAGCUCUAUUGAGGCUGUUCACACAAGAAGCCCUACCUAGCAGCAGCAGCAGAGUUGUAGAGCUGCUCAUGUAAAGUGCCAGGAUUGGGGCUGAUCCCAGCACUGCCUUACCGGGUAGCCCAGGUUUUUUACUCGGGCUUUUGACAGGGUAAAAGGAUGCAAGAGCAGCCUGUUACCCAGGUCCAGGGUCGUGUGUCUGCUCGGGCUGCGGGCAGCCCAAGCACACACAGGUCCGGGCACAUCCCUACUUUGAAGACACUUUAAAAGCUUCAGCUAGUAUACACUACUACAAGAACGUUUUUGUGGGUGCACAGAAGUUUGAGAGAACAGCAUCAAUCCUGUAACAGCUGCAUUGGUUACCAGUGAACUUUCAAUUCCAAACCAUAGUGCUACCAUCCAGAUUUCAAAGAAAUUGGUGAAAGGGGUGAUUUUAAAAAGAAUGUCUGAAUUUUGCACAGCUUUAAGCUUUUCCCCAUAGGGAAAAAUGGGGAUUUCAGCAGCCCUAUAACUCCACUUGGAGGGCACCAGGGUGGCCCAAAUCGAGUGGUGGUGUAGUGCACAUAGGGUGCCACCCACCCCAAACCCACAAGCUCAUGGGGCACUGGGUUUUGUUGUUUCUGAAGUGUUCUGAGAGUAGAUUCUUUGGUAGCAAAUGAGAGUGGAUUCAAUGACAAACUGUACUUUUAUAUUUUGUAAGCCACUUUGUGUGGCUGUGUGACUUGACAGGAUGAAAAAUGUUUAAUAAAUGACUAUAAUGAAA